AUGCACCACGCGUACAUUCCGGUUCCUGCGCGCCGUCCGCACCCACCUGACGACUGCCCGCUCCGUUUUGUCAGUC
rnacentral:sRNA from 1 species